rnacentral:misc_RNA from 1 species
CUUUGGGUUGUGCUAUAUGCACAUAUCUAUACGAUAAAUAGCUUCCAAGAAAAUUUUGAAGUUUCCAAUACAUGAAAUCGCUUUGUCAAAAGAGAAGGACAGAGAAAUCUAGCCUACUAAAUGUAAACAACAUUAGGGCAGCUUAUCUUUCUUUUGAUACUUGAGAAGCUAAAAGGCUCUCAACACAGCUGUUUCAGUCGACCCUUUUCGCAGAACAACAUAUACAACAAUUACUUGAAAGCCGUUAUCCGGUAUUCAGUAUUGGUCCUCGCAAGGAUCUUCAACGGGGACCCCAACGCAGCUUUUUACUGAAGUAAUGAAUUGCACCUGGCGGCACAAGAGCAUCAAAUAACGGCCCUUAUAAAAAAUGAUUCAGGCCUUGAUUAAUCUUCCAAUGAAUUGCUUCUGGAUCAGCUGGAUUCACAAAAAACUUGUCCCCAAAGAAAGAUCAUUCAAAUUCGAUAAAAUUUGUGCACGGGUUGUUCCGACCUGCUGAGCAAUCUCAAGUUGUUCCUCCAAUGGAAGCAUCUCAUAAUGAGAAAGCAGCUCACAAUCUACUAUGCUUUCAGGGCCAGGUCGGUGAACCCUUCCAUCUGCCUGAAACUGGCGGAAUGAUCUUGGAUUUAAGCCAGCAACAUGGGGAACAGCAUCGAUCAGUUUUUUCUGUAGUGACUGCAACCUACGAAAUGUGAGCUCGUCAAGAGGGGCCAAACAACCAAUGCUGCCAUCGAGAGUAAUAAACAAUAAAGCAAAGCGAUUGGUCUUAUCAGAGCCAGGAGCAGUUCCACUUCGAUCAGAUGUAGAAAGCAUUUGCAACCGUAUGAACUUAGUCACAUGGGCACCAACAUGAAAUUCAGCCCUUGAAAGCAGUUUCUGUCCUUUCCAGCUCUCGGACAUUUUUGGUGCAUAAUAGAAUAUCUGAAUGUUCUUUUGUUCAUCUGAAACCACAAGGCUAAGUGUACUUCCAUCAAUCAAAAACUCUGUUGCAAAACAAUCAAGUGAACCAAAAUCCUUUGCCAAUAAGCUGAGUUGAGCCCCCUGCUCCUUCCAACUAAGAAAGUAUAUGCUUUUGUGAAUAUCACCCAAUAGGAUAAAAUUCUUGACGAUAUUUAAGCUUACAACAUAUAAUGGUGGAGCAUCAUAAAAAGCAACACCAUUCAACUCUGUACCAGUCCACUUGUGUAAAAUAAUUUUAGGACCAGAAGCUAUCAACAGAUGACCUUGUAGCGAGGCCAAAGCAGAUAUAGCACCUUUCA